UACGUAGGGGCGAGCGUUGUCCGGAAUUACUGGGCGUAAAGGGCGCGCAGGCUGUUAUGCGAGUCUGCUGUGAAAUGUACCGGCUCAACCGGUGCCUUGCGGCGGAUACUGCAUAGCUGGAGUACUGGAGAGGGAAGUGGAAUUCCCGGUGUAGCGGUGAAAUGCGUAGAUAUCAGGAGGAACACCAAUGGCGAAGGCAGGUCUCUGGGCAGUUACUGACGCUGAGGAGCGAAAGCAUGGGUAGCGAACAGGAUUA
rnacentral:rRNA from 1 species